rnacentral:rRNA from 1 species
GAGCGGGCGUAGCAAUACGUCAGCGGCAGACGGGUGAGUAACGCGUGGGAACGUACCUUUUGGUUCGGAACAACACAGGGAAACUUGUGCUAAUACCGGAUAAGCCCUUACGGGGAAAGAUUUAUCGCCGAAAGAUCGGCCCGCGUCUGAUUAGCUAGUUGGUAGGGUAACGGCCUACCAAGGCGACGAUCAGUAGCUGGUCUGAGAGGAUGAUCAGCCACAUUGGGACUGAGACACGGCCCAAACUCCUACGGGAGGCAGCAGUGGGGAAUAUUGGACAAUGGGCGCAAGCCUGAUCCAGCCAUGCCGCGUGAGUGAUGAAGGCCCUAGGGUUGUAAAGCUCUUUUGUGCGGGAAGAUAAUGACGGUACCGCAAGAAUAAGCCCCGGCUAACUUCGUG